GCGGCGGGUAGAAUCCUUUGCA
rnacentral:siRNA from 1 species